rnacentral:lncRNA from 1 species
AUUCAGAAGUUGGGGAAUGGGGCCUGAGAAUUUGCAUUUCUGAUGUGUUCCCUCGUGUUGCCGAUACCACUGAUCUUAGGAGCCCACUUCGAGAAUCAUCACUGUCAUAGAAUAAAGAAUCCUGUCCAGUUCUGGGCAUCAGAGUUUCCUUGCGUUUAUUUCCUCUUUCUGUCAUAGUCAAAAUCCACUUGAAAAAUGUCCCCCCUGUUCUGGUAGAAUUGCCCUUCACUGGCCCAGGAGAGCAUAGGCAGUCAGAGGGCUGACAGACACCAGGGAUGGUAGGGGCACUGCCUGCCCCACUGAGAGGAUGGGGCGACAUCUUGGAGCAGAACAAAGGACGAAACUCAGACGAGAAAGAAUCAGAGACAGCUGUGAUUACCGAGCCUUUCCCAGCCUGGAUUUUCCUCCACAGGCUUUUUCUUGCCUAAGCUUUUUAUCCCCUUUGUAACUGCUCGUAUAUUUGGGGGGACGGGGGAAGGAGUCACUGUAUUUUCUCUCUGCACUUUUCCUGCUCCCUGCUUUUAUUCUCUGUCAACCACAAGGUCCACAUGAAUGUCUUGGAGAGCCUAGAGCAGCAUACGCAGCUUACGGCAGCCCGAACAAAAAGUUUAACAAACGUAGACAUCUCUCUGGAGGUAGAAUGUGUGGUCUGUAAAAUGUGUGCUCUGUAUCAUGUUACAGCAAAGUCGAAAACCAAGAGCUGUGUUCCAAGUCACUGCCUGGCAGUUGUCAGUAACUAAGCCUCUGCUACCUGUUACACACGGUUCAUGAAGCAGCCUGUAUUUGUAAAUUAGAGGACGUGUCUUUGAAAACAGUAACCCACUAGAAUGAGAAGGAUAGAUAGCCUUGGAUUUAGACUCCUGGAUUAGAAAUCAUCUGUCCCGUGACAUUUCAAAGAGGGAAAAGAACUUGUGGUCUUAUUGAGAAUGUGUAUUUCUACUGCAAACCUUAGGAAAAUGAAACAAAAAUAGGAAACUAUGUUCUAAUUCUAAGAAUGUAAGCUUCUUCAGCCCUUGACGCAGAGAUAUUUUGGACUCGGGAUUCCAUAUAUGGUGUCUGGGCCUGUUUAGUGCCUUAAGCUAUCAGGUAUUUGCCUGUACCAGCCUACCCACAUUACAUGAAAACGGGCCUCCCUCAUUCUUGCAGAAUUCAUGGCUUCUGUUCUGAACCAUUCACCCCAGCUUAUCUCAUACUCAUUCCUAACCGUUCCUCAGUCUGUUCUAAUGGCUGACUCAUUUUUCCUCUUACCGCCUGGCCUCACCCUAGGACCGGGCACUUGAUAUGACUUCUCCAACUUGAACCUUUUUGCUCUGGGCAUCCAUGAAUGAGUGGUGUACUGAGACCAACCCAUUCCCUGGGAUUUUUAUCCAGGCCCCCAUGCGAGGUACCCCGGCCCCGUACACCACAUCCUGGGAGCAGAACUCAGGUUUGAGAGAUCUGCGGCUCCUUGAUAAUUGCUCUCAGAAGGGACAGAAAACAAAUAGGAAGGAAAGAAUCUGAUUGCCCAGUCACUGGGUGCAGAAGAGCCAACGGAAUUUCUCUGUUAUCUAAAGUACAUGACUGUCCUGUCUCUCCUGGACCCACUCUCCCCUACCCCUCAUCCCCUGCUAAUCCAUUCUCAGCAUUUCCACCUAAGCAAUCUUUCCAAGACACAGAUCUGAUCAUGCUACUCCUCUACUUAACAUUUUUCAUUCCCAUCGAUGUAUCUGAUUGUUAUCAUACAUACGAUUCUGAUUUUCCAGAAGGUAAACUCUUCUCAUUAUGAUCUACUAUGUACUGUGCUUUAGAGUGUUUUCACAACUAUUACCUAAUUUUUCAACAAUAAUCCUAUGACUUCGAUGUUAUUUUAUCUCUGUAUUUGAGGAGAAAGUGUAACUUUUAUUUACAGUGAAUGGUACAUAGUAUAUAGUUGAUUAUAUUAAAAAUUAAAUAAGUAUUUGGAUCUUUUUGGCCAAGUGAGUAAAUUAAGUACCCCUAAAGCCAAACUUUCAGUUCCGGGGAAUGAAUUUGUUAAAUCUUAUUCGGAUGCUGGCAAGUCUCAGUUGUUUAGAGCAUGCAAUUACUGAGGUCAGAGUUGGUGGUUCAAUUCCCAUUUGUUUAAGUUAACCUCAUUCAGUUUCAUGGAUAUAGUCUGUAACUUUAGCCUCAGCCAGCUAUUUCACAAUGGCAGGUCCCAAUGGAACGUGGGUAAUAGAAUAUGGAUAAAUCCAUACCAUGACUCCAUCUCUGUUACUUGAAAACUCAAAUAUAAUGGUAACUCCUCAGUGUUAUAUAGAUUUUUGUAUAUGCAGUUAUACAAAGACGCCUUGGCAAGAAUCAUGCAGACAGUAUGAUUUUUCCCAGAUGGUACUUUGAGGUCCCUAAAGGAUGCUCCAUAAAUAGCUCAUCCCAAUAGUAGUUUUCUAAUUAUACAAUUCCUCUCUAAAUACUAGUUCCAUCUCUACUGAUGACUUAGGUAACAAUUAUUAAUGUAGCUUCAGUUAAAUCCUGUAAUAAUUCCACUUAUCAAUUUCUACAUUCUCUCUUGAAUGAAUGAUACAGUAUUGUACAUAUAUAUCAUAUGAGCUCUGUCAUUCACAGAGAUAUGACGAGCAUCAGGCUCCACCUGUGGCAUUAUGUAUUGCCAGCAUGGUAGCACUGAGGAGACCCUGACCUGAAAUUUUUAGAUUUCUCUUUGUUUACUCUGGGUUAAGGCAAGAAUUCAUUCUUAAUAUGCAGAUAUCUUUGAGGAAAGUAAUAAAUUGUUGUCAGUCAUUAGCACCCAGGUAUGAAUUAGUUUAUCAGAUCCCUUCCACUGACAGUUACAAGAAGUGCCUUAAGGAAAGCAUCUGACUGGUGUAUUUUGAUGGGAAGAUAGUAGAGGCAAAGGUUCAUUUUCCUAAAGAACAGACUUAGGUCAGAUCCUGGGGACGCUAUGAAGGCACAGGAUGGGACACAUUCGGGUGAAGUAGGAGUGGUCCCAGAAGACAGAGGCAGAUCUUUACUAGAAGAGAAGCUUCUCACACAUCCCCAUUUGGCUUUAAGCCAGCACUAAUAAAAAUACAUGAGAUGAUAUUGUAUUAACAGCAUCCUAUAAUGAGUAAGAAACCAAGUUCUGACAUCAAAGAGACUUGGGUUCAAAUUAUAGUUCUGCCGCUUUUCAGCUGUGUGGUCUUAAGCUUCCUAAUCAUUUUGAGGCUCGAUUUACUGAUCUUUAAAGAUAAUCAUAGUACCUACCAUACGGAGUUAUCUUGAGAAUUAAAUGGAUAGUUCAUGUAACGCACUCAGCGGAAUGUCUGGCACAUAUUAAGUGGUCAAGAAAUGUUAGCUAUUACCGUAUAGAGUAAAAUUUAAGGUUGCUUCUUCUCAAGUAUAUAUAAUAUGUUCUCAGUUGGAAGGCUGCCUUUUGUGGAGUCGGAUUUAUGCCUCUUCAAAACAAAAACUCUAGAAGAAUGUCUUUGAUGCUGGAAAGAAAUAAACCUUAUUAAAAUAACAUAAGAAAUAAGCCCAAGAAAUACAUGAGGACGGAAGGGUCCCUGUGUUCCAAGAGAGACUGGAAAGCAAUACUUUCAAAAGAUGAGUUCUAAUCAGAUGUGUACAGUUGACAACUGAAUUAGUGCCACGGGAACUCAGAGCAAUACAGAAGAUCAACAGAUGCCACAGAGCUGGAGACAGAAACCCACAUUACUUAUCCUCCUACAAAGUGUGUGGGAUAUCUGGUCAACCUGUAAAAAACAAGCCGUAGUUCCCCUCACAAAAACAGUUGAGAGGAAGAGAAUGAAGGUGCAACUCCUUUCCAAACAUAGGCGUGUGAGGGCGAGACAUCACUGAAGACCAGUUCACAGGUCAUGUUUAUUAUUAUUUAUGUAGACUUUUAAUUGACAGUUCAGAGUAAAUAACAUUUGUGUCUGUGUCCUCCUUGGGCCCGAGGACAUUUUUCUUGGUCAGAAUCUGCUGAUUAGCUCGUGUAAACAAAUCUCAAAUCACCAAGUUACAACUGUUGCUGUUUCAGGACAUAAACAGUGAGUCCUUACCUAUGUGACUAAAAGCAAGCCGAAGCACUAGGUUGGAUGGAAUGUUAAACGUAUGGCUGUUAACUGUCACCUGCAAAAUAACCCCUGACAGCCAUUUCCUGCUUGGCAGCAUAGGGGAGGGGGGGCCGGAGAGUGUGGGUGAUUGACUUGUCAUCCUGACUCGUCAUUGUGACUUGAAUAAUCCCUUCUGCCUGUCUGUCCUGAAAGCAGCAUUUUCUCUAAUUAUGAGAAACACAGUAGCAGUAACUGGUUCUAAGGAAAAAGGUCAUGAUGUAGUCUCGUUGAAUUCAAGAAAUGCAAAUUUUCAAGGCAAUGGAAUAACAGUUAACAUUUGUAUAUGAUAGCUUCCAGGAUAUAUAUAAAGCACGUUUUCAUAACAUGACUUUAUUUAAUUCCUGCAACAGAUAAGUGAGGUGAGUCGUAGCUAUUUUUGCUUCUACUUUGAAGAUAAUGAGUUUCCAGGGCCAAAAGACUUGCCCCAGAUCUCACAGCUAAGUGAUGAACAUUCCACCAUUGACUCCAAAAUCGAGGCUCUUUUUUUUCUAUCCUUUUCUCUUUUUUUUUUUUUUUGCGGUAACGGGGUGGGGUGGUGGGAGGCAUGCCCGCAGCAUGAGGAAUUUCCUGGGCCAGGGAUUAAACUCACGCCGCAGAAGUGAAUGCCAGAUCCUUCACCCACUGAGCCACCAGGGAACUCCCCAUCCCAUCUAAUCUUGACUAACAUUGUUACUAUCUGCCACGGUUCCCGGUCUGUAAGUCUUGUGCCUGCCCUCUCUUUCAAACCCUUUCUUCUACUAGUCAUGAGACGCUAUUUAUUUUACCUCCAUGGUGUUUCUCAAAUCUGUCUACUGUUAAAGUUCUUAUCCCCACUUCCAUGGCCCUAGCCCAAGCCACUAGUGUUUUUUAUCUGGAUUAUAGCAGUAGUCUCCUAACUGGUUUGCUCGUGACCUUAGGCUCUGUCCUACAUGUUGCUGCUAAAGUGGGCUAUUUAAAAGUGUAAAUCUGAACGUGACACUCGCUUGCUUGAAACCCAUCAGUGGCUCCUCAGCACCUUCGGAAUGAAAUCCUAAUUCCUUAGCUUGGUCCUGCCUCAUCCCUUUCAUCCUCUCCUCUUUACACACCCUAAGCUUUGGCCAGAACUAGCUCUCUUCUCCUCCUGGAACCACUCAUGACCUUUCUCGUUUCUGUGUUUUGCAUUCUAUGGGGAAAAACUUUCUGUCUCCUGUUGUCUACCUUAUCGUGUAGGAGCAGUCUACAACAAAUGUCUUCAGUGAAAAGUCUAACCCGGACGUAGUCCUCCCAUUCAUCUUCAUACAAACCCCUGUUAUGGCAUUUAUCACAUUUCAUUUUAAUUAUUGAUUUACAUGUUCAUCUGAUCCACUAGAUUCUGAGACAAGGGCCAAAGACUUGUCCUGUGAAACAUAUACCCCGCUUUUUUGCCUUCCACAAUGUUUGGAACAUAGUAGGAAGGAAAAAAAAAGGUUUUUUACAUUGAAACUCAUAAGCAGUGACUAAUUGUCUACCAUAUGCCCAACUCUGUGACACGUGAGAAGGUACUAGGUCCAAGUCUUGCUGAAAAGUGGAGAGUUACACAAUUCAUUUUGCCAAUAGCAGUUUAGAAGAAGAUUUGAAACUAGGGAGGCCCCUCUUUCCUUUAGAAAUGAUUACUUAUGAAGGGCUAGGGGUGAUUGAAUAUUUGCCAUCUGGCCACUGUCUCGGUUCUCAUUGUAAAUCAGAUUUAAGAAACUCAAGUCCUUUUAAAGGUGAAGUUGUCGUAUGUUAUUUAGGGAGAAGUACCAUCUCCCCCCCGCCCCGCCCUGAGAUCGACUUAAGGAAAGUACUUGGAAACUGCAACGAAAUUCCUCCAAGUGUUAAGAGGUAGAAUGCUACCUGUCUGGGAUGUGAUCCGGUUGGAAUACCUUCUCAAAGGGACUUCAUAUCCAUUAUUUUCAUCAAGGAGCAGAAAGCACACUUCCUUUUCAUAUAAUCAGUCAAAGUUUGAAUACAUCAGGGUGGGCAUUUGGUGCUACCCAUUGGACCCCCUUUCCUAGGUUAACAGCACCAAGCCUCCACUUGCACUCAAACAUGAUGUGAUCCCAGUGGUUUUUGGUUUCUGGCUGCACCCUCUGUACUCCUAUGGCACAAGCUGUAGAAAUGUUGCCCGCCACUAUCAGUUAGCCAACUGAAAAGCUACAUGCCUUCUUCCCUCAAAAGUGAUUUCGAACAGCCCCCAACCACCACGACACAGAUUUGGAGAUAGUUGUUUGCACUGGCAAAUGUGGGGCCUCGAGUAUAUUCCCCGGAAAGUUGAAGUGAAUCAGCACUGUCUUUAAAAUGCAGAUGUGCGUUGGGGAGCUCUAAAUGAGAGAUGUCAUUCAAGAGAAUUACAUCAGCAAACCUUUAGCGAGUAUUGGCUAUAUCGAAAGCUCUGUGCUUGUUGCCGUGCGGGACAUGUGGAAGCAUAAACCAUGGUCCUUGCUCUUAAGCCGUUCCGUUAGGUGGUAUAGAGGGACCCCUUAACUAGAUCAGGGAUGGGAGGAAGAGACGAAGUUGACCCUUAGUUGGUAUGUUAUAAAGCUAUUAAUUGAGGCACUUAAAGAAAACUAACAGCAGUAAAGCUAUGACAAGAAAAUGCAGGCGAGGGGACAGAGAUUGGCUGAAGAAUUAAGAAAAGGAUGAUUCAAAGCCAAGGAUCCUAGAUGCAUGGUGGUGGUUAAUGCCAGGCAGAGCCUCCUAAGGCAGAAAAGUACAUAGGACAGUUCAUGGAGAGAGCAAGGCCUGUGUUGUGGGCUGGAACAGGAGGUAAAGAGAAGCCAAAUUCAUAGAGCUGAGUAGUCAGAGUGUGCCAGUUGUGUCGGUGAUGCAGGUGUAGACCGCAUACCUAGAAAUGGGUUCUACCAGAAGCAAAUGAGCUCCAUGUAAGAUUCAAACAACACAGAACCUUUUGCCUCCAGAAACCAGAAUGAGAACCAAAGGUCACUGCCCCACCCUGGACUAGAUGGUGGAAGUAAAGUGAAUCCACCCGAAUCCCGUCACUGGAAGAAAAGGCUUUUGGGUUAAAAACGAAUGCCAGGAGAUGGAUCUUGAAUAGCAUCCACCCAUGGCUUAUACUUAUGCCAAGUGAGCCAUGUGAACUGGACCUGGAGAUACCUUACUGGCGUAUAUAUAGUAUGGAGCUUGAGUUAUAAGUCACUUGUGCUGGUCCUCAGUGCGCAAGGUGGAAGGAGAGGAAUGCUGCCGGAAAACCUGGACAGCCAGCUGAAAAUGGGGGACUUACAACUCUGAGUCAAGAAAUCUCCAGCCCCAUCGCACAUGGCAUCUGAAGAACCUGAGAUAUGUCAAAGUGGAGAAACCAUGCCUGAGGGUCUAAAAUUCCCAUUAGAUUCUAUCUUUCAUGGCCUCGAGGAAACAGACAUUUUAAUUGAACUAAAAUAUUGUUACCUGGGAGGGAUAACCCUUCAUCUGAUUGCUUAGUUUUGUCUCCAUUCUUUCGACAAACAUGGAGGGCCUGACCCAGUGCUCAGGGGUACAGAUAUGCAUAAGACUAAAGCCCUCCCUUCAGGAAGCUCACAGGUUAGCUGUGCUUUGGGCCUUCUGUGAGGCUGGGCUAGGAAAAUUCGUCUAAUGAAGAGGUUAGGUGGGAUGAGGGUGCGUGAUGGGGGAGAGAAUAUUCGCAUGCAGCUAGGAGUAGUUCAGGGUCUGGGGCUCUGGGGGGGUUGAAAAUCUAAGCCUCUGAGGCGGAAGGAAGAGGAUCAUAGCAAAAGAAAGGCUAGAAUAGGAGGAUGGGAAAUUCAGUGGCCUGGAAGACAGAUAACAAAUAAGGAAGAGAGAGGAGCCAAAACCAAGAACUAGAAGAAGCUAAGUUGUCCGAAUCUGAGUUUGGUGAUGGAUGGAAUGUCUGUGGUUUCAAUGUAACGCCUCUCAUGUGUGUGCGUGUGAGAGACAGACAGACCGAGAGACAGGGAAGGGCACACAGAGAACUUGAGAUUCCGUCCGCCCUUUUUCACCAUCGGUACCAGAGUGGAGGCUGUAAGCACUGAAACAAAAGCAACUGGACUUUGAAAAAAGAGGAAGUGAGGAAAGUUUGUUUGCGAGCGCUGGUGGCAGGAAAUCCUGUGACUAACCUUAUUUCACACAUCUCAGAUUAUUCAAAGGGAUCUGAACUUUCUUAAGACCAGCAACUUAAAAUGGAAGGGGCUGUCUCAGAGCCAUUGAGGGCUGAGCAGUGCUCACCCACCCCCCGCCCCUUGCUAAAUAAACGAAUCCAAUUCGGGUCGCCCUUGACUGUGCGGAAGAGCCGCUUCAGGGAAGAUGCCACACGGCCCCUCAGCAUGUCCAGUGCAUAGAGUGAGGCAGCAUUAACAAAUGGACUUCAACUCUCUUGGG